AAAUUAAUACAUACUUUGAUAGAGCUAAUUUUGAAUGUUGAAAAGGUAAAGUACAAGAAAAGGGUCUAUCCGAGAAAUAGAGCACAUUUUAGUAAACAUUUUAACUGCUUGCAAAAUUCGAAAAAUGGAGGAAUUUAUGAAAUUGGUCGCUCAAUACCAAUGCAAAUCGUCGAGUGUUGAUCUAAGCAGCUCUAACAACGACAGCGAUAGCGACUUCUAUCUCCCAUCCCCUGGACUUGCCAAAGAUGCAGAGAGCUGCACGGGCGGCAAACGUAAAGCGGCGGGAACAGCAGCUCGACUGCCAACAAGGCGACCCGAUCCCAACGUUUACAAUCGGAAUGCGUUGCUCGCCCGGGAGAAUCGCCGCAAGAAGAAGGCGUACAUGGAGUCCGUGGAAAGGGAGCUGCACGAGACGCGCAGCGCCAACAGAUCCCUGCUGAAAGCGCUAAAAAAGCAGUUCAAGCUAACGCAAAAGCUCGAGAAGGAGUGCACAUAUCUCAAGGACACACUGGGAAGGACACACUACAAAGAGCGCAAAAAAAGCGUGCAGAUUUCAUCGCCAGACAACAGAGAUAUCCAAAUCAACAGAGCAACUUCUCCCGAGGGUUCCCUAAUCUCAACGUAUUCGAGCAGCAGCAGCUACGAGCCGAAUCCAAUGGAGACGAUGUUGAUGAGUGCCGAGAAGAACAAUGAUUAUCACACUUCGCCAGCGGAGUAUAAGAAUGAACUGGAGCAGCUUCCUCUGCAGCCAGUGGACAUUAUUGACGAGCACAGCUACUUCAAUAAGUUUGCGCAAAUCGAUUGGAGUCCCAACUACGAAUGGAGUUCCAGUCGCACUCCGCCCACGCAGCUCCUGCAAGAUGAGGAUUUCUUGAUCGACGCCGCAGGCGACGAAUAUCUUGCAAGUCUAUAGAAAAAAAUAUAUAUUAAUUAAUAUUAAUGUUUUUAUUAAGUAUUACGUUAGAUUAAGGCACACAAUUCUUUAUUCUGUGAAUCGAUAUAAUUCUUUCCAUUAUGACGACUUUUGUGUAUCCAAUUAGUUUAUAGCCCGUGGAGAGUUUAUGAUAGAAAACCCGCCUUUGUCAUCGAUGUAUAAAUUUUUGCUUCAUAAUUUCAGAAUUUCAGGCCAAUUUGGAGAGGCGCGUUGGGUUCUUUUUUGGAUCCAGCUCGCAAAUGAGAAUAUUUCAAGCUGCGGCCACAAUUAAAGACGACACUCGAAAUCUAACGGAUUUCUCCUAUAUACACACACUUAUAUAAAUUGUCCUCAUGGAAGGAUCUCCUGAUGAGCUGCAGACUUCAAGUGUAUUUCAUACAAUACGAAGGCUUUGUUCUCGUUCGAUUUGUUUUUUUUUGGUAUAUUGAAAAAGUUACAAAAACCAUACUAAUUUAUUUGGAUUCUGACAUGUUGCAGAUGAUUUUUGAUCACACAAUUGAUCGAUGUUUGAUGUUUGUUUACAUUGUUCAAAGUGGUGGACAGUCAGGCUUGAAACGACGGUAUGUAUUUCUAUCAUAACUCCCAAAGAGGCAUCUUCUAUAUAUAUAUUUAUAUGUGUUUCUAUUGUUGAUUUUGGAAAGAAUAAUCGAUAUAAUUUCAUAAACAAAAUAAUUAUGCAUUUGUUAUUGAACCCAAAUAAAGAUAUAAGUACACAAUAUUUGUGACU
rnacentral:misc_RNA from 1 species